UACGUAGGAGGCGAGCGUUGUCCGGAAUUACUGGGUGUAAAGAGCGCGUAGGUGGGAGGCCAAGUCUGUGGUGAAAGCGCCCGGCUCAACUGGGCAUGGUCCAUGGAAACUGGUCACCUGGAGGACGGUAGAGGCGAGUGGAAUUCCCGGUGUAGUGGUGAAAUGCGUAGAGAUCGGGAGGAACACCAGUGGCGGAAGGCGGCUCUCUGGGUCCCUACCGACGCUGGGUGCGAAAGCAUGGGGAGCGAACAGGAUAGAU
rnacentral:rRNA from 1 species